rnacentral:rRNA from 1 species
UACGAAGGGUGCAAGCGUUAAUCGGAAUUACUGGGCGUAAAGCGUGCGUAGGUGGUUUCUUAAGUCUGCUGUGAAAGCCCUGGGCUCAACCUGGGAAUGGCGGUGGAUACUGAGGAGCUAGAGUGCGGUAGAGGAGGGUGGAAUUCCCGGUGUAGCGGUGAAAUGCGUAGAGAUCGGGAGGAACAUCAGUGGCGAAGGCGGCCCUCUGGACCAGCACUGACGCUGAGGUACGAAAGCGUGGGGAGCAAACAGG